CGUAGGGUGCGAGCGUUAAUCGGAAUUACUAGGCGUAAAGCGUGCGCAGGCGGUUUUGUAAGACAGAUGUGAAAUCCCCGGGCUCAACCUGGGACCUGCAUUUGUGACUGCAAGGCUAGAGUACGGUAGAGGGGGAUGGAAUUCCGCGUGUAGCAGUGAAAUGCGUAGAUAUGCGGAGGAACACCGAUGGCGAAGGCAAUCCCCUGGACCUGUACUGACGCUCAUGCACGAAAGCGUGGGGAGCAAACAGGAUUAGAUACCCUGGUAGUCCACGCCCUAAACGAUGUCAACUGGUUGUUGGGUCUUUACUGACUCAGUAACGAAGCUAACGCGUGAAGUUGACCGCCUGGGGAGUACGGCCGCAAGGUUG
rnacentral:rRNA from 1 species